AGUGCUCUUAGCCACACAGGGGGCAAGGGAAGCUUAAGAGCCCGGGACAAAACACUGUAACGAUAACAAUGACAAUAUUACGUAGGAAUUCAAAAACAAAGACAAAUAAUUUCUCCCGUUAAUAAUUGUUACCAUCGCUGCUAGUAUGUUUCCACCAAACUAUGUCCUGGAAAACUGUUCGCUCAAUGCCAAGGAACUUCAGAUACAUCUACCUGAAACCGCAUGGUUCUUUGGCCACCUUGUAACAUAGUCUGUAAUUCGCCAAGUGUUAACAUUAAGCCAGGAAAAGAGAGUAUAUAAAGACUGAGGAGAUCUAGCGGAAGUCAACUCCCUCACCAUGACCUCACUGUGUCCUUCCGAUGUGACCUUCACAUGGAUGGUGUGGCUCUAGAUACAUGAGGAAUGUAAGAAAUUCCCUUGGCUCAGUCUUUUCCUCCUCAUUGCAGCAGACGAUAAUGCAAGAUGCUUUGUCCCAACCACGCCUCUCUCUUAAUAUUUCUAAAUACUUCCUUUCUUCUCUUUACUGUUGCAGUUCUUGUUGAGAGCAUUUCGUAAGAGUGUAAAAAUAAUGAAGUAGGUUCAAGUGAACUGGAGUAACAAUGGAGCACCUUGUGGGGAAAAACCCUGUUCGCUGUGAAUUUUCACAUGACCCUCUUCGGUCUCAUGCUGCAGAUUCAGCCAUGCGCCCUGGGGCCCAGCUGGUGUGUGGAGGCUCAGGCCACAGAAGGAAAAGGCAUCUCGUCCGCCUCCCACUCUGGGGGACCCAUUUCCUCCAGUAUUUGAGGAGGAUUGGUUUCUUCACUUCCAGCAGAGUUCACGUGAACUAAGACGCAAUCACUGAGAAACACUUCAAAAUACACAAGUGAGGGCACCUGGGUGGCUUAAUCAGUUGACUGUCCGACUUCGGCUCAGGUGCUGGCUGGGAGAUCUCGGUGCCCACUGCUCCAUCCAUGAAGCGAUCAAGCCGCUGCUCCCCACCCAAGACUUAACACGCUCUGGAAGACAGUCAUCUUAAC